rnacentral:rRNA from 1 species
UGUUGCUUCGGCGGGGAGCCCUCUCGGGGGCGAGCCGCCGGGGACUACUGAACUUCAUGCCUGAGAGUGAUGCAGUCUGAGUCUGAAUAUAAAAUCAGUCAAAACUUUCAACAAUGGAUCUCUUGGUUCCGGCAUCGAUGAAGAACGCAGCGAACUGCGAUAAGUAAUGUGAAUUGCAGAAUUCAGUGAAUCAUCGAGUCUUUGAACGCACAUUGCGCCCCCUGGCAUUCCGGGGGGCAUGCCUGUCCGAGCGUCAUUGCUGCCCAUCAAGCCCGGCUUGUGUGUUGGGUCGUCGUCCCCCCCGGGGGACGGGCCCGAAAGGCAGCGGCGGCACCGUGUCCGGUCCUCGAGCGUAUGGGGCUUUGUCACCCGCUCGAUUAGGGCCGGCCGGGCGCCAGCCGACGUCUCCAACCAUUUUCUUCAGGUUGACCUCGGAUCAGGUAGGGAUACCCGCUGAACUUAAGCAUAUCA